UUAAAGUUGUUUAACCUGAAUUAAAAUUUUCCAACCACUACAUACAGCUGAAGAAAAAAAAAUUGUAAAAUAUUAAAUUUGUCAGUAGUUAGAAAAAAAAAAUUAAAUCAAGUAUGUAAACCAAUUUCAACGCAGGACGAAGCACUAUUUUCAGUCCGCAUAUGUUAUAUGGAUUGCAGAUCAAGUUUGAACCAUACCUAAACGGAUGAGAGUAGCUCGCGUACUCACCCCCGAAGUAAAGUACAUUUUGGGUUUUGUCUCUCAGCGUACCGAAGAAGAGUUUGAAAGAUGCAAAGAAGAAAAGAGAGAAUAGAAAAAGGAUGACCUGGGUGAAGGCUUGAGGGUCGUGAGGGAAGACAUUGACGAUGGUGAAGUUGGCAUAGGAAAUUGGGUGUUCCAACGCGCAGCAACUGUUCGACGAAAGGACUGAUAAGAGAAGGAUGAGGGAGAGAAGAAGAGGAGCAGCCAUGGAAGGUGUGAGAGUGUGGUGAAAGCGUGAAAGAAGAACGCAUUUAAGGAGUUACAUGAUUGGUGCUAAUCCUAUCUCAUACACCUCAAAAGUGUAAAAUGUCGGUGUUUCUUCAAAACAAUAACUACAAGUGGGUACGCACGUUUUUUUUUUUUUUUUCUGUAUUGUUUAUAUUAAUUUAUUACAUUAAUAAAUAUUCAAGUUUUAUUUAUUAUAUUAUUAAUAAAAUAUUUUUAUAAUUAAUUUUUUAUAUUAUUAUUAGUUUUAAUUUAAUUUUAUUUAUACAAUGUUUUAAAUCAUGAUAUAUAUAUAUAUAUAUAUAUAUAUAUAUAUAUAUAUAUAUAUAUAUAUAUAUAUAUAUAUAUAUAUAUAUAUAUAUAUAUAUAUAGGUUUGUUAACGCGUGUAUGUCUGUUUUUCGGUUAUUACAUUUUAACAAUGUGUACCGGAUUAUAGGAGACAAAAAUACUCUCAUAUAUGAUGAAUUCUAAGUUUUAAAGUCAAGGAUAUCUAAAUAAUUUUCAUUCUCAAAACUAAAAAAAAAGAAACCCCCCAAACACUUACUGAGCUCUCUCAUUCCUCUCAAUCCUUCCUCUUUCAUCUCUCUCACUUCAACCUUUUCUCUGUCAUAUAUACGGUAAUCCCAAUUAAAAAAAAUUAGAAACAUAGGCGGUUAAGCAAUUUCUUACAAAAAAAAUAUUUUAUAAUGAGUUUUCAUUUUAUAAUUUUUGUCUUAUCUAAUUAGUUUAAUACCUAUUUUGGUCCCUCUUUUGGGGGAUUUGUUCAAAGUGGUCCUCCUUUUUUUUUAAAAAAAGUUCACUAAAUUUAAGCCCUACUUUUUGUAAAAAGUGUGCAAGUUAGUCCUUUUUGCUAACAAUGUUAAUUCUGCUAAUGGCAGAGCUGCCAGUUCGUUAUUAUGUGUUAAAAAAAAUUAUUAAUUGUGAUGUGGAAAUGUAAUAAAAUUAGGGUUAAAAUUAAAAUUGAAAUUAGGGUAAUUUGGAGUAAUUAGGCAAAGUGAUUUUGGUAAGAUGCAAUUGGGAUUUCCUUGCGAUUGGGAUUGGGAUUUCUUGGCGAUCUCAUCGCCAUCUCCGAUUCUAGUGUAGACCCAACUGCUGAUGGGUUCCAGAUUUUCUCCUUCUCGCGCUCUCUCUCUGUUUCGCCACCACCUCCCCUCUUCGCGCUUCGUGACAACAAACAACACCAUUUUUUUCCUUCAUCGCUCUAUCACAGCUUAACCACCUAGGGUUAAAUUAGAAAUUCAAUUUAGGGUAAUUUGGUGCUGGUAAUGUUUUGUUGUAGUUGCAGGGAUUUCGCGUUUUGGGUUGCAGGUUCGUGGUGAAGGUGGUUGCUAGCGUCAAUGGGCGACGGUGGUGGAAUGAAACUACUAUACCUUGGUUGAUAUAUGGUGCAAUGAAGGUUAGGGUUCAACGAUGGAACAAAAUUGUUGUGGGAAGGUUUUCAUGGCUGUGCGAUUUUGGCAUAUAUGCAAUUUGGACUUUGCAAAUUAAGAUUCAAUGAUGGAACAAAACCGCUGUCACGAGGUUUCCAUGAAUGGUUGUGCGAUUUUUGCAGAUCCAUGAUUUGGGUUUUUCGAAUUAGAAUUUGUGGAACAAAACUGUUGUUGCAAGGUUUCCAUGACUGCGAUUUUUGCAGAUUUACAAUUUGGACUUUGAGAAUUAGGGUUCAAUGGUGGAACAAAACAGCUAUCGCGAGGUGGAUUCACGAUUUGGUGUUAUAGAUUACCCACUCCAAAUUACCACAAACUGAAUUUCUAAUUUAACCUAACUAUAUUAAAUUCCACGUCAGAAUUUAUUAUUAUUUUUUAAACACAUAACAGUGCCAGCAAAGGAAAAACGUUACACCUCAUCAUAUAUUAGCCAGCUGGCAGUUCUGCCGUUAGCCGAAUUAACGCCGUUAGCAAAAAUGACUAACUUGCACACUUUUUACAAAAAGUAGGACUUUAGUGAAAUUUUUAAAAAAGGGAGGACCACUUUGAACACCCCCUCGAAAAGAGGGACCAAAAUAGGUAUUAAACCUAUCUAUCACAAGCAUAAUGACAUAUGAAGGAAUUAGUAAUUCGCCUGGAGAAAACCAGAAACACUCGCUAUUAAACAAUUUCUUACAAAAAAUGAUUUUAUAAUGAGUUUUCAUUUUAUAAUUUUUAUCUUAUCUAAUUUUCACAAGUAUAAUUACAUCAGAAGGAAUUGGUAAUUAACAUGAAGGUUUUUUAAGAGAUGACGAUUCAACAUCUGUAGAUGAUAAAAUUAGAGAAGUUAUUGAAGAUGAUGAAAUUGAAGAGUUCUUGAAUGAACCUUUGCUUGAAGACAAAUAUGCCAAUGACUCAACUAUUUACAAACGUUUGUUUAACGACGAUUGUAUUUAGAAAAACGUUUGUUACAUCAUAUAUGUUUUUAAAAACGUUUUUAAAUAUGAUUUGUAACUUGUUAUAUUGUAUUUAGAAAAACAAUUAAAAACUUGAUUAAAAUAAUUUAUUUUUAAAUAUUAUUUUGAAAUAUUUAAAAUUCGUAGUUACAUCAUAUAUGUUUUACAAUGGUUUAAUUAUUUUUUAUAUUUCAGUAUUUUAUUUAACGAACUAUUGUGUGUAUUAUUUGUUUAUAUGAUAUAGCAGAUCUUUUUGGUAUGGUUAUAUGUUAAAUGUUUAAGGUGCACUAAUGUUUUUCGAAAUUCUAUUGAUAUUUUGUGCAAAAGUUAUGUGAAAUUUUGUAAUGUAAUUGGUUAUGAUUAUUCUUAGUAGUAUAUUUUUCACUUACCAUUUAUGUAUAAUUUAAUAACCCAGCAUUAUUUUUUAAUACAUAAAUUUACAUAUUUGAAAUGAUCAAAUGGUAUAGAUAAAUUUACAUAUUUGAAUGUUUUUUAAUAAAUAAUGGCCUUGGUUUUGGCCCUGCUCCUAGUUGACAGGGGUACGGAGCAUUUGGCCAAAGUCUCUUUCUACUGUGGGACAUUGAGCUACGCAUGCCACCCAAGUUGGUUUUGGCACAUUAUUUAUAGAGUUGGUUUAGUUUCACUUUAAAAUUUUAAUUAAAUUUUUGAAACAUUUUUUUCACAAAAUAAAAUUUAAUAUUUUAAAUUAAAAAAAAUUAAAAAUAUAUUAAAUUAAAAAUUUAUGUGACUUAAUUCAAUAAUAAAUGAACAUUUUUUAUUUAAUAAAUAUUUAAUUAAAUUAAUAUUUUACAUAUAAUUAAGUACAUAUUAAUAUUUUAAUUUAUAAAAUAUUAUUUAUUAAAUAAAAAUAAAUAAAACAUAUUAAAAGAUUAAAAAAAAGAUAAAUUUUAAAAAAAUAUGUUAAAAAAUACAAUUAACAUAUUCAAUUUGAAUUAUUUAUAUGUAAUCGUAUUUCCAAUUCCAGUUAAUAUAUUUCUUUUAAGUUUUUUAUUAAUUUUAUAAUAUUUUUUAUUUAUUUUUGUUUAAUAAAUAAAAAUUUACAAAAUUAAAAUAUCAAUAUAUAUUUAUUUAUAUGAAAUAUGCUAAAUUAGUUUAUAUUUAUUAUAUUAAAAAACAAUUUUUUGAUUAAAUAUUUUUUUAAAUUAAAAUAUUAAAUUUUUAAUAUGUUUUUAUUAUUAUUAAUAUUAAUAUUAUUAUUAAAGUAAAAAAAGUAAAUUAAAAAAUUCUUAAUCGACGAUUAAAUGCCCAACAAAUUUUAAUUUUUUUAGGGAUAAUCAAUUAUCACACCUAAUUAUCAAUUUUUUUAAGGAUACUUUCUAACAAACACCUUCUCAAGGAAUCUCUUUUGAAGAAAAUAUAUAUCUUAUGAGUGGAGAGAUGAUUACUUUACUUUAGAUGCUAGGAUAAUGAUUUGUAACUGAUAACUAUCUAAUUUUGCAAUCUUUUAGGUGUUUAGAAGUCUAGGAUAACUUGUUUUUCUUUUUAAUUAUCUAGAAUUAGGAUGGUUUUAGGUUUUUCUUUAUAUUCUUUAGUUUUGUAUAAUUUUAGUUAAAAAUAAGUUUUUAGGAGUAUUUUUAGUUUUUGCUAAUAAUUAAAAUAUAUAUAUAUAUAUAUAUAUAUAUAUAUAUAUAUAUAUAUAUAUAUAUAUAUAUUAGAAAAUCUUUGAUAAUGAAAUCUCUCUUUUUAAUUGUUAAAUUUCCUUUUCUUUUCUUUAAUUUGGUAUUAUUAUUUUUUCUUUGAUUAGAUAUGAAAUAGAAUGGGUUGCUGCACUUAGAUUGGGUUACUGAAAUGUUGAUUGAAAUGUUGGGCCACUAUUGCAAGCUUGGCCGGAUUGGGCCUUGAUCUUUUUAUACUGUUUGAAGGAAAAAGUUGGGUGUUGCUCCCUCCACCUCCUCAACUCUUUCCAAAACUUAUUUAAUUACAAAACAAGCCUUAAGUUAAAAUUAUUUUACUUUUACCAUUUAGAUUUUAUUUUUUUAUUUUAAACCCUGAUUCUACCCUCUUUUAUUUGCACAUCACUCAAACCCACUCGUAAUUCUCUCUCUCACGGAUUUCUUUCCCAUUUUCGUUUUCUCCCUUCUUCUUUCUCCCCUUUCACUUUUAAUUUUCGUUUUCAUUUGUCAUCUCCGUUUCUUCUUCCUUUUCAUUUCUGUUUCACUGCUUCCAUUGGUCGUUGAGUGGUGGUGUGGAGCAACGUCCAGGAGCACCGUGGAGGAGCAGCACAGAGUAGAGCGAAGUUCUUUGUUUCGGCAUCCAGGUUGGUUUUCUUCACCACUGUUUUGUAUCUUUGUUUGCAUGUUAGGUAGUUUAAUUUGUUUGCUUUGAAUCUGUGUUGUGGUUGUUGUGUAAGUUGUUCGUCUGUUGUGCUGUAAACAAGGAACCUAAGGCCAAAACGGACAUGGGAUAUCCGUUUGGCCUUCAACGGAUAGCGACAUUCGUCGACGAAUAUGGGUAUCCAUUGAAGCUACUACCUCCAGACCACUUCUAAGAAGUUGCUACCUCCAAACAGAGAACCACCAACACCAACAAAAUGCACGAACAACGCAAUACGAGUGAAGGAGAAAUAGUACAGUGAAAAGAAGGAAAUGUGAUUUCUACUGGAUAAACUUUAGAUUUGUGGGUUCUAUAAAUAUCUAAGUGUAUUGUUUGUAUGUGAUUAUUGAUCACCGAAAGUCCACAUCCAUCCAAAGAUAAAGGCACCGUAAAUAAUUGGAAAGAAAAAAUGGGUACUGAAUGUUGCCAACUAAGUUUUUGUAUUAUUGUGAGAAUUAUGCACAAGUAGCUAGUGAUGUAUGAAACAUUAGGUGCAAAGAUCCACCGAAAGAUUUCUUGUUUGCUUGUAAUGAGUGGUAUUUUGGACCUUGUGUCUUCCUUAAUUAUAAAAGGGGCACACAUACAAAUGAAGAGGCAUGGUGCAGGAGAGAAGAAAUAAAGUGUGUCAGUGUUGUGUGCACCAUGUAGAAAAAGAUUAAAAAGAGUGAGUAGAAGUGAGGAGCAUCGUGUGAAGAAGAAAGAAAGUCUGUGUGCGUGCUGUGAGAACCGUGAAGAACAAAAUAGAGAGGAGGGUUGUAAUUUAAAUUAUUGAGUUUAUAUUUGUUGUAAGUUUUUCAGAUUUCAGAGUGUUGUACUUAUGUAUUCUGGAUUUCUAAACAAAAAUUGUCAGUUUAUUAAUAGAGAGUAUAUUUCCAAAAUUUUACAAUUUCGGUGUGGUGGUGUAGAGAUGAUUUUACAACAAGGACUGCAUGGGUGGGUUGGACGUUGGUGAAAAGAAUUUUUUUUACCAACUAUCUUUACCAGGUAAAAACAGGUUAAAUGAGGAAUGUGGCAGUGUAAGAAGAAGAGUAUAGUAGUGUAGAGAGAAGGGUUUCUUAUUAAUGUAAGGGUCCCGUUAUUUUGAUACCCAAUUUUUGACACAUAUUUGACACUGUCAUGUGUCAACGUCCUAUUGGGUAGUUUUUUUUUUUACUUUUUUUUUUAAAUUUGGCUUGCAAAAUGGAAAGCUUUUCAGAAAAUUUGUAUUCCAAUUCUACCCCCUCGGCUUUUUCAUUGGUUUUGUGUGACAGAUUGUCUCUCUCCCGUCGUCUCCCAUCGUGCUCUCCACUCCCCUUUUGUGUGCUCUCCAGUGCUCUGAAAUGGCAAGUUCCGGAAUGGACCUUCGUUGGACCAAAGGUUUGGGUAUUUCGUUUUAGGUUUGGGUAUUGGGGUUCUUGUGGUUUCUUGCACACGUUAUGGGUUUUGUUGAUUUGGUGUGUUAUUUUGUUUUGGACAGUUAAGUGUGCGUCAUUCAUUUUCAACUAUGUAUGUUAACACUCUCAACGAACGGUUGACAGAGGAACAACGGGAAGUCAUCUCGAAGACUCCAUUUGGUUGGUUUUUAGAGUUGCAUGGUAAAGUCAUAUUGAAUACUAAAAUUUUGCGUGAGUUAACCAAGACAUGGGUGGAUUCGAGCAACUCUUUUAUUAUUGCAGACAAGCAUUUCAAUAUCAAUGAAAAUGAUUUUUGUUCAGGAAUAUGAUUGAGUUUAGAUGGUGAAAGUAUAAACUUGAAGCAUUCUUCAGUGGGUAAUAGUAAAUGUGUUAAAUACUUAGGUCAGGAAAUUACCCAUUUGAAAUUCAUUUUCAAAUUUUUGUUGAAAAAACAUAAAAAACCCUUCCUUGUGAGGUUUUUUGUAGCUUGUACAUCUUGUUGGGGAUAUGUGAGAUUUUAUUCCCAACUCGUAGUGGACGAGUUCUUCCUAUAUUUUUUAAAAUUGUUGAUGAGUUGAGUGGUCUGAGUAAAUACUGUUGCGGCAAUUUAGUUUAUCGUUUUUUGUUAGAAAAUUUGAGUAAAGCUUCAGAUUCAUUGAAGAAAGGCAAAGCUAGAAGCAAUGUUUAUGUUGAUGGCUGUGUGUACAUGUUGCAGGUAUUGAUUUCACAACUAAAGUUUGGAAUAUUUGUUAUUUGAUUAUGAAUAAUUUUAAACAAUUACAUGUUAUAUAGGUUUGGUUUUGUGAGCAUUUCAUGGCUCCUGAAGGUGCAAUUGAGAAAGUUCCAAGGAUCUUGCACUGGAUGAAUACAAAUGUUGGAGACAACAUUGUGAAACGUGUUUUUGAGAUGGGUGUGGUAUGUGUAUGUUUUUUUUUUUUUUUACUUUUGAAUGUUAUUUUAUAUUAAUAGAUAUAAUAUAACAUAUUAUAUGUUGUUAAAUUUCAGGUUCAUGUUGUACAUGAAAUUGGUGUUGUCAAGAUUGAUGAGAAGGAUGGUAUAGAAAAAGAACCACCACCAAAAAGCUAUGAAGAGCAACGAAGAAAGAAAUUUCUUAAAAAAAACACAGGGAGAGUUUGAUGCGCACUGCAGAGGAUCAGAAAUGUGUAAUUGAAGAGCUUAAAAGGAAGGUGAAUGUCUUAGAGGCAGAGUUGGAGGCAGAGAAGGGCAGAACAACACCUAAAAGGUCAACUGCAGAUGAUAGUGUCCAAAGUGCAGGACGUCCACCACCAUUUAGUGAUGAUGCAUUUGUUUCACCUGUUGGAGUGUCGACCGAGGAAGCGGGUGGAAUGUGCAAGAAUGAAGAACGUGCAAUGUCCGCAAAUGCACCGGGUGGAAUGUCCAACAAACAAUUAGAGCUGAAGCAUUAUGUUAGGAUUGGUUCAAGAAGGUGAUUUAAGAGCCAAGCACUUAGGACACCAUACAUAGGAAAUGUAGUAGUUAGGAAGACAGAUGAGUAACUAUUGUACUAGACUUCAGUGUUAGGACAAGAAAAAGAUGGUGUAAUUAAACCUAUUUGGUUCAAUAUAUAGAACAAUAAUCUUUGUUUUAUUACAUUUAUGUAAUUACAAAAAAAUUUGUGUUUUAUUGAAUUGCUUUAUAAAUUGAAUUCCAAGUGAUAUUGUUUGUGCCCAAAAACGAAUUAAUGGUUGUGAUUUGAUGUAUAUAGUUGAAUUGGUGAACAUAAUGGUGGAAAAGAUUGCAAUGUAAUCGUUUUCACUUGGGACCACAGCUUCAGUUUUGGGUAAUCUGCUGUGAAAAUGUGUGUUGUAAUCGAUUACAAGAAGUUUGUAACUGUUUACACGAGUCUGAACAGAUAUUUGGACAUCCUGUUGAACUGAAGGAGCCACCUGUUAUAGCGUGGGGGACCACAGUGUGUUUUUAACAAAAACCAAUGAUUUAAAAUGUGUUUCAUGGUUAUGGAGUGAGGAGAAGCUUGAACCUAAUGUUCUGGGUCCCCCAACAUGUAAGGAGGGACCACCCAUGUUGACAAAGUUGUGUCAAGUGAAGUUGUUUUGUGUCUGGUGUCAAACUGAGCUUUGUAAUCGAUUACAAGCAGUUUGUAAUCGUUUACACGAGCCUGAACAGGUAUUUGGACAUCUUGUUCAAUUGAAGGAGCCACCUGUUAUAACGUGGGGGACCACAGUGUGUUUUUUACCAAAUCCAACGGUUUAAAAUGUGUUUUAUGGUUGUGGAGUGAGGAGAGCCUUCAACCGAAUGUUAUGGGGCCCCCAACAUGUAGGGAGGGACCACCCAUGUUGUCAAACUUGUGUCAAGUGAAGUUGUUUUGUCUAUGCUGUGAAAAUGUGUUUUGUAAUCGAUUACAAGGAGUUUGUAAUCGUUUACACGAGCCUAAACAAGUAUUUGGACAUCCUGUUCAACUGAAGGAGCCACCUGUUAUAACGUGGGGGACCACUGUGUGUUUUUUACCAAAUCCAAGGGUUUAAAAUGUGUUUUAUGGUUGUGGAGUGAGGAGAGCCUUCAACCUAAUGUUAUGGGCCCCCCAACAUGUAGGGAGGGACCACCCAUGUGGAGAAACUUGUGUCAAUUGAAGUUGUUUUGUGUCUGGUGUCAAACUGAGCUUUGUAAUCGAUUACAAGCAGUUUGUAAUCGUUUACAUGAGCCUGAACAGGUAUUUGGACAUCCUGUUCAACUGAAGGAGCCACCUGUUAUAACGUGGGGGACCAUUAUAUGUUUUUACCAAAUCCAAUGGUUUAAAAUCUGUUUUAUGGUUGUGGAGUGAGGAGAGGUUUCAACCUAAUGUUGUGGGCCCCCCAACAUGUAGGGAGGGACCACCCACGUGGAGAAACUUGUGUCAAGUGAAGUUGUUCUAUGUAUGUUGUUAAACUGAGCUUUGUAAUCGAUUACAAGCAGUUUGUAAUCAUUUACACUAGCUUGAACAGGUAUUUGGACAUCCUGUUCAACUGAAGGAGCCACCCUUUUAUAACGUGGGGGACCAAAGUUUGUUUUUUACCAAAUCCAACGGUUUAAAAUGUGUUUUAUGGUUGUGGAGUGAGGAGAGCCUUCAACCUAAUGUUAUGGGGCCCCCAAUAUGUAGGGAGGGACCACCCAUGUUGUCAAACUUGUGUCAAGUGAAGUUGUUUAGUCUAUGCUGUGAAAAUGUGUUUUGUAAUCGAUUACAAGGAGUUUGUAAUCUUUACACCAGCUUCAACAGGUAUUUGGACAUCCUGUUCCACUGAAGGAGCCACCUGUUAUAACGUGGGGGACCACAGUUGAUCACAGUUCAAUAUCAGUGUUCAUUGAGUGUUGAUUAGUUCCUUCAUUUGUAUUUGGUUGUAUAUAUGUCAAAUAUAAUACGUGAAACAUUAUUUAGUUCCUUCAUUUGUACUUGGUUGUAUAUAUGUGAAAUAUAGUACGCAAAGCAUUCAAACAAGAUUUAUAACUAGACUUUUAAAUUGCGAUACUUAUUUGAAGUAAUAAAAACAUUACAAUAUUCCAGUAGAAGUUCGAAAUGAAAAAAAUACAUAUAAGACCAAAUUAAAACUACGAAGUGAAAUGAUAAAAUGGGUUGGUAGGUUGCUGCAUUCUGUUGUAACUGUUACCAAGUCGUGCUUCUACAACGUCCAAUCUUGUAUCCAGGCCGUCCAAUCUUGUACCAACGUACGUUUGGAGUUGGUCAAUGCGUUGUAUGACAUCAUCUAGUGUUGUAAAAGAACUUGGUUGAUCAUUCUGUUGUACUUGUCUGCGUUCACUCUGUUGGUUGUCAACGUCGUCUUUGUGUACCCACACUCCGUGUACAUUUUGGACAUAACCAAAAGAGACUAUUUUGUCACAUCCCACCUUUUGUUUGUCCAUUAUUUCUGUCAUAGGAUCAAAAGUCAGAGGCACAUUAAAGUGUUCCAACAAUAUAGUUACCAAAUGAGGGUAAGACAUCCUUUCAUUGUCGGAUAGAGCCCUUUUCAUCCUAUUGCGGAUGACAUGUCCCCAGUUAAUCUACUUUGAAUUCAAAAGGGCCCAUAACAGUAUAAUAUCCUCGUUGGAUGCCUGACCAAUAUUUGAGUAACGUGGAAUCAAUAUUCUAGUUAGUACAUAAUGCAAUAUUCUUGGUUGCACCUUCAAACCCCAACAGUUAUUCUAGCACUCAAGUCCGCUUUUUCAUUACAAACUAGUUGCCUUGCAGUGAUGGAAUUGUACUCUUCUUUCCAGUCAUCAACAAGACGUCGUUCGUAACGAACUCCGGUACAUGGGAGGGAGGUGAGUUGUUGAAAAAGAGUUGGGCUCACUCUAAUCUUAACCUUUUUAACUUCGCUUCGAAUAACUCCCGUUUCAGAAAUUUGCGUGUUGCUAUAAAAUACUUUAACUAAUUGUGGGUAGAAGGGUUUUCUCAAAGAUACAAAUUCGCUCAAUGCUGCAUCUCGCAAAAUGUCGUAAAAUUCAAAAUUGCUUACCUCAAAGUAAUCUUCAUCCAGGUAUUUGCUUUCCAAAAUGUGUCAAUUGAAAAAAUACAUAGCAUAUUUCUCAUACUGUGUAGGCGAAGAGAACAAUUCUUGUCCUGUUGGUGGAGGAGACGAGGAUGUUGUUGGAGAUGGGGGUGGGGUAGGCGUCGGACUUCGAGGGCGACAAACACCACGGGAAGAAGCUCCCCUCUAUUUCUUCCUUGUGCGAUCAGCCAUGGAAGCCCAGUGUGUUGCGAAUGACAAGCAGGGAAUUGUGAAGGAGGAUAAUUGAAGACCUAGAGUUGUGGGCACUUAAACCUAAAGAGGGGCACGUGGGCAGUUAAACCUAAAUAGGGGAACGUGGGCAGUUAAACCCAUCUAUUCAUAUUUAUAGGAAGGCAGGAUACAAUGUAAUCGAUUACACAAUAUUGGUAAUCGAUUACAAUGCCUAUUUCCAUCACAAAAUAACACCUUAAUUAAGCUAUGUUACAGGAGGUGUUGUCAACAGUGGUAUUCAUAGGUAAAUUGACAUAGACUUUGCAAAAUAAUAAAAACACGAUUUUCAUAGCUAAAUAACAAGAACAAAGUUAUAUACAUCAAAGUAUGUUAUUAUCGAAAUUGUUAUGCACAGCCGAUAACAAAGACAAAAAUCCCGAUGCGGCCACUCCAGAUUGGUCUGAAACUUGGUAAGAUUGGGAUGCAAAAGGAAUCACUUCAGCACUUUGUAUAACAUGAGGCAUUCUUGUUUCCUAAAUCAACACAAUUACAUUUAGAAAACAUAUAAAAUUUAAGUUAAGUAAAUGGAAAUAGCACACAAAAGAAAUACUCACAGAUUAAUUCUUCUACGAAUGUUGUUGAACACUUCUUUGCUGAAGAUGUUUUUGUUUUUCUCGUCCGUUUCUCAACGUUGGACUUUAACCUGUUUGUAUGCGGUCACCCUUUCGCUUCACUGGUAAAGGGCUGCGGACAAGUACGUCAUCAUUUCCUCGUUCAGUGUUAGAUGUUGGAGAAGUAACCGGAUUUUGAUAUCUGAGUUCAUCUCCAUCACUAAUGAUGUUAGUAGUCAUGGAUGAACUGCAGCCAUAUUUAUUACCAAGUAGAUCAAGAUCCUUUUGUAACUGAUUUGAAUUAACUUCUGACUCACAAGCAACCUUCGCUAUUUCACAGAAUUUUUUACACAAUAGUUGGUAUCUUUGCAUGGUCGGUUGAAGCUUUGAGUUAGUGUAAGCUGCUCGAAUGAGCGUGUGCCUUCUACGAAUAUUUUUACUCCAAUGCCUAAGAACGUAUUUGGAUGGCACAUUGCAAACAUCUUCUUGACCAAACACCAAUAGUGCAUGGCAACAAAUGAUGCCUCUAAACUCAAAUAAGAGGCAAGAACAUUUGGUAUUGUUAGUGAGUGGAUCAAAUUCAACUGUAUAAAAUUUAUCUACACAUUUACCCUCAAACAUCCGCUCCUCUUUUAUUGUGUAAGUAUUCAUAUAAGUNUCCUUNACAGUNUUNUUGAUAAAACAAUUCAUCCUGGACCGAAAUUCUGUUUGAACCUCGUCGAACUUUUCAUGUGUGUACUCUAAUUGAAAUUGUCUUUUGAUCGGUGAUUGGGAGCCACAACCAAUCGUGGUGUUAAGGGAGGAGAAGUCAGCCUGUAUUUCUUUUUGUGCCUUCACUCUAAAGGCAUUGUCGAAUUGAACAACAAAUUGUUGUAGUGUCGUGCUUGAAUUUAAAAAUCCAUCAAAAAAUGCAUUCAUACCCUCGCUUCUUUGUGUAGUUGACAUACCCGCCCAAAAAUAACUCCUUAAGUAACAUGGAACCCGUUUUCUUCUUGCAUCAUAAAGAUCACAUAACCAAUCAUCGACAUUGACCAGUGCAAACUCACCUGAUUACCUACCAACGCACCCGCCCAAAAAUAACUCCUUAAGUAACAUGGAACCCGUUUUCUUCUUGCAUCAUAAAGAUCACAUAACCAAUCAUUUGCCUCCAAUCCAUGCUUUGUAAGUAGAUCUUCCCAUCCAUUCUCGAACUCGCUUGGCGAACCACAGUCAUAUACAAUGGCGUGUAUAUCGGUUUUAAUGGCAACAUAAUUUUUGUAGCCUUGAAAUUUUUCAGGCAACUUCUUCAUUAUGUGCCACAAACACCACCUGUGUCUUGUGUUUGGAAAAACCUCUUCAAUUGCAUUUGCCAUUGCCUUGCACUGAUCCGUUAUAAUACCAUCUUGGGCCUUAUUUCCCAUGCAUCUCAACCAAGAUUCAAACAACCACACGAAUGAUGCAGUGUCUUCGGAAGAAAGAAAUCCACAUCCAAGUAAGAUUGAGUGACCAUGGUGAUUUACGCCGACAAACGGCGCAAACGGCAUGUCAUACUUAUUUGUCAAGUAAGUCGUGUCAAAAGAAACAACAUCACCAAAUUCCUCAAACGCCGCUCUACUUCUUGCAUCUGCCCAAAGAACACUACAUAUUCUAUUCCCUUCGUCCAAUGCAAUGUCGUAGAAGAAGUCAUUGUUUAAAGCUUUCAUUGAUGAAAAGUGUUUUAAGAGGGCUUGACCAUCGUUGUCCUUACAUAAAGACUUCCUGUGUUGCACAACGUAGUUUUUUGCGUCUCGUUCAACGAAUUCCAUAUUCUCAAAUCCACCUACAUCGCUAACGAUGCUAAGGAAACUCUUAUUUAUCCUAACUCCGGCAUCGUCAUUGACUUGCAACGUGUGUUUCGCUUGCAUGCUCAAUUUUCUAUUCCCUGCAAUUAGCUUAGAUGUAUUAGGGCAUAGGUCAUGACUAUGAUGUAGUUCAACGGAUUUUAUAAACCAUUUAUUGUCCUUCUUUCCAAUGGUAAUGCUUGCUGGACAUUUAUUUGUUUGGCUUGCAAGUGUUUUCACUUCAGGCUUGAUGGAAGAUACAUAUUUCCCUUCUCUUGAACAAACUAAUCGCAAGUAGUACACAUUGUUUUCCUUAUUCUUUUUCGAAGAUCUUGUCCUCACAGCAAAUCCACAUGUGAUGGCGUAAUUUGUGUAGAAUUUCUUUGCCUCUUCCAUUGAAUCAAAACACAUAUGAAUCUUAGGCUCGUUGUCCAAACAACUUUCAUUAGGCUCAGGACUAUUUCCUGUGCACUGAGGCAGGUCAUUCAUUAUGAACACAAACUGAUCAUAAAAAGUAUAACACAUUUUUUUCAAAAUUCCAAAAUUGUCAAGUGGUAUAAAAUUUUAUUAAUUUUAAAUCAAAAAAUAUAAUUUAAUAAGUACAAAUUAUAUAAAAAAGUAGAAAUCAAAUGAAGUGGCUUCUUAAAUGUGAAAAACAUAGUCAUACCUACAAGGACCCUUAAGUGAAAUUGUUGGGGUACUCACCAAACUCCUGCCAAGGACUUUGCCUCUCCUCCUUAAAUGAACUUAAAGAACUCUUCACCAAACGCAACACCUGGGCAAUCAACACUUUGCCUUCAAUGAAGAUAGGUUGGUCGUUGAAGAAGUUAUGGAAGAAAGAGACAACGUUUUGGAGGGAAUAAGUGUGUGUAGCAAGGAAUACAAAGCAUUUGUAACUCACAUUGACUAUGAAAAGUUCUUUUCAUUUGAUAUCAUUAAGGAUGGGUGCAUUUAAUUCUGUCAUGAAAAAGUUUUUCUCUCUCCUUUCCCACAAUUAAUGAAGUUCACUUUCCAUUCCAAACAUUUAAUGCAAGGUCAUUCAAGCAAGUUAUUACACUUCUUCUUUCAUCAAUUUGUGACAUAAAGUGAGGGGCCCGUUCAUCAAGUAAUGUACCAUCAUUAAAACCAACAUCAAAUCAGUUAAACUUAUAAUAUUAUAUUUUAAUCAUAAAAAUUGUUGGGUGCAGAGAGGUCUUUAUAUAUCUCGCUCAUACCCAUCUUAUUUGGUGGAAUACUUCAAUCUAUUUGUGAGAUUAGUUACUUAUUAAUUUUCGUUAUUUUUUUUUUCAUUAAACUUGCUUUCUAUUGUUGUUGUUAUGUUCAACUGGAUUCCAUAUUGUUGCAGGUUAUCAAAGGAUUACCAUGGAUGCAUGGGAAGACCUUGUGUAAGAUGAUGAUGUCCUAGAGUCAUUUCUUAAAAAGUGUGAUGCUUCUUCGUCCCUUAUACCUGGCCCUACGGGUAAUGUUCAAGUUGCCAUCCUCAAUAGGAAAAAUCCUGAGGACCACAAAUCCACACAAGAAUUUGCUAAUGAUGUUGCUCAGGCAACAUAUGAAAGAGAUUUCAACUCCAACGCAUGGAAAUGGGAAGAAAUGUUUAUUGAACACCAUGGUACAUGACCUGUUCAUAUAAUACUGGUCAACAAUCAACUUCAACAAUAUAUUUGUUUAUGCCGCUUAUUUUGAGAAUUGCAGGUCUUGUUAAAGAGGGAAAGAUGGAGAACGUUACUCCACUUAAAGAGGCCAAAAAAUUUGAGAUCCUUCCAAUUGUUGCUUGCUUAGUAAAGGAGUGCAAGCCCACUGGUCUGGGAGACAUGUUUUUGACUGUAAAGGCAUUUUUUUUUCCAUUGAUAUUAUCUUAAAAAAUAAAUAAUAAAAUAAUAAUUCAGUCACUGUGAGAAGGACCCGUCCGCUGUCAGGAAGGCUUCAUUGCACCCUAAAGUUCUUUGAAGAUCCUCAAUUUGGAGACAAUAUUCGAGUUGGAUCCGUCAUCAUACUCAAUCUUGUAAACCAUUCAUUAAGUACUUCAUUUAAAAUUUUAUUACUGAUUACAGUUGUUGUGAUUUGUUAUUUUUUAUUUCAUAUUUAACUAGUUCUUAAUUUCCUACUGUUCUAUUAGGUGAAAUCCUUCUGUGCAUAUGGGAACAACCACUACCUCAAUAUCGUUCACCGCAACAUUGUGAAGGUUUUUCCACCUGACAUUUGUCAUCCAUCAGUUGACCUGCUGAAGGAAACGCCAAAACCUAUCAUUCGACUUCCGAUGUGGGCAGAAAACAAUGACAAUGUGGAUGCCAUCCUCCGCAAAUUUGUUCGGCCAACUGACUUACCGUCAUCAUCAUCCACAGAAGCAGACCAACCGUCAUCAUCAUCCAAACAGGCAGACAAUUAAUAGAUUAAUUUACGUAUGCUUUAAUUUAUCUUUUGUAGUGAAGGGGAAAAAUUACUUUAAUGGAGUACUGUAAUAGUAUGUUAUCAGCUCUGAGACUGGUUAUUGGAUGACUGUAAUUGUAUUCAAGUUUCAAUGUUGUUAUUGUGCACUUUUAUAAUUUAGUAAGAUCUAAUGUAAUGUUGUUAUUGUAAUCAUUGUUUUGAGAUGAAUGAAUUCACCACUAUUUAUUUUGUCAAAGCAGUCUACUUUCCUUCAAAAACACCCAAAAUGACCAGUGGUCCCCCACGUUGCCACAUGUGGCUCCUUCAGUUCAACAGGAUGUCCAAAACUGCAUUAUGGCUCGCGUAAUCGAUUACAAGCCUAUUGUAAACGAUUACAAGAGUACUUUUUGUGGCAAAUUACACUAAAACUCACCAAGGUUCAUGUCAUCACCCUAGGUGAGACCCCUCUACAUCAUGGGGUGUCCCAACCAACCAUCACAUCAAACCCUACACUCACGCUUGUACAAAAAACAAGUCAAGUUGUCUUCAAAAACACCCAAAAUGACCAGUGGUCCCCCACGUUGCCACAGGUGGCUCCUUCAGUUCAACAGGAUGUCCAAAAUUGCAUUAUGGCUCGCGUAAUCGAUUACAAGCCUAUUUUAAACGAUUACAAGAGUACUUUUUGUGGAAGAUUACAGUAAAACUCACCAAGGUUCAUGUCAUCACCCUGGGUGGGACCCCUCUACAUCAUGGGGUGUCCCAACCAUCACAUCAAACCUUAUACUCACACUUGUACCAAAAACAAGUCAAGUUGUCUUCAAAAACACCCAAAAUGACCAGUGGUCCCCCAUGUUGCCAUAGAUGGCUCCUUCAGUUCAACAGGAUGUCCAAAAUUGCAUUAUGGCUAGCGUAAUCGAUUACAAGCCUAUUGUAAACGAUUACAAGAGUGCUUUUUGUGGCAGAUUACACUAAAACCUGGACAUCAAUCAUCAAUCAACAAUUAUUUCAACAUUGCACAUAACCAAUCUUCAAAAUCAAUCGUUGUAUUGCAAUAAUCAUUUGUACAAUGUCUUCAAAUAUAUAAACGAUUACAAACACACACGCGUUAACGAUUACAACAUCCUUGUGCAUUGAACAUAAACAAGGUAGAAAUCAUAUUUCUUAUUCAUAUAAGAAUUUGUAAAAUGUGUUUCUAUAUAUUAAAAAUACAUAGUCUCCAUAAACAAUAAUGUUUUUUACAAUGUUCACUACAUUUGAACACAGGACAACUAUCCUACAAAAACCCAUACACCGAAAGCGAAUCUAGUAAUCUUAUGUUUUCGUCGUCCAGGAUUCAAUCAACUACAUAUUGCUUUCUAAAAGCAAGCAAUUCCUCCUGAAAUGAAAACAUUGAUAUUGUCAGGUCAACCCAAUCAUCAAACAAUAAUGAAAAUCAUAUUAUGACUUACAUUCGUAUACAGUGGCAUACUUUUCCCAUUGUAUUUAUCCUCUCCAUCCCAAAUUUCCAUAGCUUUUAACAUUAUAACUGCACAGUUAUGUCUGAAACAAUAUAAAGAUAACAUCAACCACUUUUGACAAAUCACAUCAUUUACAACACCAUAUUUGUAAAUUAAAGACCUAUCACAACUUACAGGUUAGGUUGGGAUGGGAUUUUUGCAUGUACAACAGACAAAGGUCCUAUACUCCCUUCCGGUCUGUUGUACAAGAUGUAAAAAAAACGAGCAAGGUUUUCAGCCUACAAAGUACAAAUUACAAUAACAGGUUAACAAUACAUUAUUAAAUUAUAGUCAAUAUCAGUAUUAAAUGAGGUAAAACAUACCACAACUGUGUCAAUCUUUCUUCGGUUUCUUAUGCCCUUCCCCAAAGAGUCAAGAACAUAUAUGGUUAAUGUGCUAAUUUUAACUACAUAGCACCACCAAUGGUAAUCAUGGCAAAAAGGAAGAAACAGCUACAAACAAACAAAAGGAAAGUAAAUACAUCAACAACAACUACAUGUCAAAUACCACCACAAACACAACGAAAAAUAAACCUCACUCACAAAGUCAGCUGUUGCAAUGUCUUGAAGUCCAAAGUGUCCGGCAUGCAAACAACUACUGUAGUUAUGAAGACUGAACACACGACGAUUUUUUGCCAUUCUCCUAAAAUCAUCGAGUAUAAGGUCCUGCGAGUAGGUUCAAAUCAAACAUACCUAACACAUUAUUCCAACAAUCAAUUAAACCAUCUCACAAACCAAUUACAAACAAAUUACCGCAUAUAAUGAACUAAAAAGAAUCUUCUUCACAACCCCAGUGGUCCUUCUCUCAAAGUGCAUAAAUACGGUAGCAGCAAAUAGCACCACCUAAACAUUCAAAAUUGAAGAAUUACUUAAAAUGAAUAUGUACAUUACAAAUCAACACAAGUUACCAAAAAACUUACCAUGUUAUCAACAUAUUGGUAAGGCGCUAAAGUCUGAAGGGAAGUUGAGUUCAGGGUCUGCCCAAUUAUUUCACAAACAAUCCUGAUAAAAAAAAAGAAUUUUUCAAUUCAAAAAAUAUGACGUUGCAACUUAAAAAAACUAAAUUAUACUUAAUUACCUUUGUGGUUGUCUAUCUCUUACGCUGGCGGCGAUGUACAGGUGGUCAGCAUUGACGCUACACCUUGGAUCACCACCAAUAGCACGCAGAGGGAUGACAACCAAUGCUUCCGGUGCAUCUGCUUGUUCGACAUCCACAUCAUUGUCAUCAAUUUCAACAAUAAUCUGAAUUUCUUUUCCGGUUACUUCAUCCAAGACAACUCCUUCACCUUCUUCAUUCAACACUUCUUCACCACCUCCACCCAAAGGUUCUCCAUCACUUCCACCAACAACUUCUUCAUUCAACACAUCUUCACCAGCUCCACCCACCCCCUUUUCAUCAGCUCCAGCAACACCUUCGCUCAACACAUCUUCAGCACCUCCACCCACACCUUGUUCUACACCUCCACCAAAACCUUGUUCAUGGAACACUUUUUCAUUGAAAAUUGGAAUUCGACGAAUUUUAAAUAGCUCAUUGGUCAAAAAAGCUAGCCUUGAAUUCAAGGCCAUCAUUUCUUCAUUGUUUUUCUUCAAUGUCUCCUCAAGCUUUGCUUCAAAGGUGCCAUCAUCGGAGCUAUCAUCAUCACCUUCCUCAACUCUACAUCGUUUUGGCAAUUGCGCUAGACCUAUCCCUCCAUCAAAAAGCUGAAAAGCAGCUUUGAUUUCGGGCAUGUCACGCACACGCUCGCCAACAUACCACUCCAACUUAAACUACAAGACAUGCAAACAAAUUAAACAGUACAUUCAAAUCAUCAAUAUUUAUACAAAACUUACAUGAAAUACUUACUUCUCCAGUCCGAAAAAUAUUAUCAAUAUUUUCAUAUGACCGUGCCUUAUAGCGGAACCAACGCAACAUAUGAGGGAAAUCCCUAUGAAUUCGAUUACCAUCCAAGGAAAAUCUCUCUACUGCCUAAGCCUACAAUAUUAAACAAAUUUUCAGUCACACAUAAAUCAAAAUGUAAAACAUUCUAUUCAUUCACUUAAACAACUACAAAGAUUUGUACCUGUAAUACAGCGACAUUGCCACUUAGACUCAGUGAGCUUCUGAUACCUCCACCCAUUAUUUUUUUCAUUCCUUUAUUCAAACUAUCAACAAGGUGUUUAUGUACACCAGUAGCCCAAUCAUAUAAACAAAGACUAUCUAGGUCAUCUAAGACUUUUGAUGGCAUAUUAACAACUAUCUUAGACUUCCUAGGAAAGAACAAGACAACCAAGCACACAAAUAUAUACAACCUACAAACAACAUCAACUUUUGUGGUUUCAUCCAAAACAAUCACAUUAAACAUGUCAACCAAGUCUUCCAAAGUUGUGCUUUUUUUAUUAAACAUUUCUCCAACCAAACCUUCUAUACAUUCAUCAAACGGGAUUUCUAAACCCCCUAUACCUAAACCAGUCGUCAUGAAAACAUCUAAAACUGUAAAAGGAACCAAUUGAUGACUCAACCUAAAGCUAACAUCAUGUCCUGUCCACCUACAUACCAUAACCUUUAAUAACUCGCAGUUAACGUCCACAACCUCACGUAGGUACACACACCACCUAAAUGGUGUCAUCGCAAUUCGUUGUACAUGGUCUUUUCUCAUAAAACGAUUCAUUUCAAUAACAAUUGAUGAAUCCAUAGAUGUACGGACCCUCCACUACAAAAGAUAGACAACAUUAUUAUUACUAACCAUAAAAAAUCACAACUAUAACUAAUACCUAAACUUCAACUUACCUUAGGGUUACCGGACGCCAUUUCAACUGCACGAUAAAUCAAUGGUACAUUAGGGUUCACAACACACAAAAACCUAAGAUAAAAAACAAUAAACUAUGGUUCCACCCAAAACAAGAAACAGAGCCACAUAGCAAAACACACCCAAAAGGCCAAACGCGAAAGAAAACGUAAAAGGGAACACACCCACAACGCCUGUAACGCCCCGGCAACUUACAAGGACUGUUGACUGCCCCCACACAUCACCACGAGACUUUCCAGUGUGCUUUGUCCUCACUCGCACACAGGUCUUUACCCACAACGCCUGUAACGCCCCGGCAACUUACAAGGACUGUUGACUGCCCCCACACAUCACCACGAGACUUUCCAGUGUGCUUUGUCCUCACUCGCACACUUUCCGGGAAAACUUCCCNNAAGGUCACCCAUNCCAGAAUUNCUCCAGGNUAANCACGCUUAACCAUGNAGUUCUUAUGGGUUNGGCUNCCGAAAAGUAAAUGCAUUUUGGUGAUAUGGGUAGNCAAAUCAAUUCCUUUAAGCUAUCCUUCAACUGUAUAGUCCCAUACCUAUACAGUCUCCCGAUCCCUCUCAUUUCGGUGUAUGUUCGAUUCGUCCAUGUGCCCCUUCCACUCGAAGCCUGCUAGGAGCCGCUCCUUGUCCGUGCCCCCUGCACCAUGCUUCUUGCACCGGUGAUCACUCCCCGCCCUCGUCAGUGCCCGGGUGUCACAUGCCCACUAGCUUCCGUCUGGUUCGUCCUCGAACCACACCGUACUGGGAGAGAACCUGGCUCUGAUACCAUCUGUAACGCCCCGGCAACUUACAGGGACUGUUGACUGCCCCCACACAUCACCACGAGACUUUCCAGUGUGCUUUGUCCUCACUCGCACACUUUCCGGGAAAACUUCCCGAAAGGUCACCCAUCCCAGAAUUACUCCAGGAUAAGCANGCUUAACCAUGGAGUUCUUAUGGGUUGGGCUACCGAAAAGUAAAUGCAUUUUGGUGAUAUGGGUAGUCAAAUCAAUUCCUUUAAGCUAUCCUUCAACUAUAUAGUCCCAUACCUAUACAGUCUCCCGAUCCCUCUCAUUCCGGUGUAUGUUCGAUUCGUCCAUGUGCCCCUUCCACUCGAAGCCUGCCAGGAGCCGCUCCUUGUCCGUGCCCCCUGCACCAUGCUUCUUGCACCGGCGAUCACUCCCCGCCCUCGUCAGUGCCCGGGUGUCACAACGCCAAACGCCAUACACACCCAAAACGCGAAAGAAAACUUACCGGUAGAGAGUCAAUGCAAAAGACCACUUUUCCUUGAGAUGACGCCUUUCGAUGAACAAAGCCACCGGAAUGGAGAGACGAAGGAUGCUCAGAAUGGAAGAGACGCGAAUGGGACAGGCGAAUGGAGAGAGGCCAAAUGGGAAAAGCGAAUGGGAGAGGAGAAUGGAGACAGGGCGAAUGGGAGAGAUGCGAAUGGGAGAAUGAGAAAGAAGAACAAUGCUCAGAAUGAAACUGAAGGAAGAUGAAAAAUGAAACCGCCAAAUUCAAUUUUCAUACCAUCAUCACAUUUCCAAUUCUACCCUUCUGUGCUUUUUCAAAUGCAAUUUUUUAAUGAGCUUCAGCCAUCCAAUACAAAUUUGACACGUCAGCCGAUGUCAAAUUUGUGUCAAAAGAUGGUGUUAAACAAACAUUUUCGUUAAUGUAAAUAGAUAAAGUUAAUAGUAAAAAAAGUUAUUUUUGUAAUUAAAUUUUAUUUUAAGAGAGUUGGGGAGGUGGAGGGAGCAAGGGUGGAGGUGAAGGAAGCAACACUCAAAAAGUUGUUAGCAUGGAAUUGGGCUGCACUAAUUGGGCUUGCGGAUUUAUUUGAAUGACACCGUUUUGGUGCGCUACUACCGCCCCUAGGAAUAGUUUGAGCUCCAGGUUCAUUUUCCAAUAGCAACCCUCGAGCAAGGUUCCAAAUGAGAGAAAACUCCUUCGUGCUAGGGCUCCUGUGCGAGAAGAGAGAAGAGAAAAGACGAACUCAUGCCCAAAUGCCACUUACCCAAUGAAGUUGAACUAGAGGAGAGUUAAAACUGACGAGGAAGAUCAAGAUGACCGGAGGGAUAAGAUGCAUUGAGAGCGAGCAAACCACAUAGGUCGUCCGAUUGAAGUAAAGUGAAGUGUCGAAGGUUUCUUCCCUUUUUCCCUUUUCCCUUUAAUUUUCACCCUAUAAAAGAGGGGUUUGUAAAUAACUUUGAGUGUGUAUCGCGAAGGGUGACAAACUCCACACAAGAGUGACGAUCUGAGUUCGCGAUUUUAGGGUUUAUGCACAUUUCGUAGUGUAGAUUUUGGAUUCUUUGGAUUUUGAUAAGGAAAUCACGGUGGUAAUAGCCUGUGGUUGACUCAGUUCCUUUCUAUCAGUGUAAUUUCCAUUUUCCUUUGAAUAAAUUUCAAUUAUACUACUCUGUUAUGGUUUCUAGUUUUGAUUUGAUGCAAUUUUAAGGUUUUCUCUUGAUUCAUUUGAGAUUUGAACUUGUUAAUUGUUUUGGAUAGUUUAGUUGAAGUUUGUUUCAAUUUCUGAUGCUUUGGAGACUUGAAUUUGUGCAAUUUACAGUUCCUUGUUAUUUUGAGUUGUUAUUUCUUUUAUGUUUCUAGUGUUAAUUUCCAACAUUUAUUUUCUUCGUCUAUUACUUUCUAAAUUUGUAUUGUGGUUGUUAGUUUUACUGUAGAUUUCAUUAGCUAGAUUUUCAUAGUCAUGAAUUUUUUUUUGCUGGUUUUGAUUGAGUGGAUAAGAAUAACUAGUUUAAGAUUUUGUAACAGAACCUCCAAAACCCCAAAGUGGGCUUGCUUAUCAUUGUCAAAAUGUAUUUUUGAAAAGCUAUUAGGAUUCACUGACUCAAUUGUAUAGUUGGACCAGUUUUAGUAUAUCUUUAUAUGUUGUUUCCAUUCUAUUUUGGUUUCAAUUGUUUAAUCUCACAUAAUCCAUUUAGUUUAUACUACUUUAUAUUUUCUUACAUUUUUUUGUACCUCUUGUUCAUUAGUUUAGGUGUUUCUUGUUAAUUUGAUUUGCAUUCUUGUUCCUGAUUCUUUUAUUUUCAACAUUCGAAUUCUGAUGCUUUGUUUUUAACUCUGUGAAUAGAUUUUAUGAAUUUAGUAUUGAGUAUUCUUUGUUUUUUGUUUUUUAAGUUUAUUCCUUGUUUCCUUUUUCAUAGUAAAGCAUAUACAUUUAGUUUAGAUUUUGUUUUGAGUAUAAACAAAUUCCAUCUCUUCAGUGCUUUAGUUUAGGUUUUAUUUCCUUAUUCUCAUUCUUCUUUUCUUUAAACAUGUAUUGUUAUUAAUUCUUUCCUUCUAAAUUUCAAUUUCAUUUCUUUUUGCCCACCUUGCUUAGUAGUAAUAAUUAGUAAAUAAAUAAUAGGAUUUCAACUUUACACUUUGAACUUAAUUUUUGCCGAGUCUUUGCAUUAAUCCUUGGUUGACCCCUAUAUUACAUUAGUGGAAAAACUGAGCUUGUUGAUCUUUUGUGCGACCAAAAAGCAUUUCAACAGUAACUCGAAUGCAAACACUAUAGGUAUAAUACUUGUUAGGUUGAUAAAGAUUGACAGUAGAAUAAUUCACUAUAUUAUAUGUUACAUUUUGGUUCCUCGUUCAACUAACUUGCACAAGCGACAAAAAAAGAUCUAAUUUUGAUGUGGACACCUUUUACUUCAAGGGACAUUAAGUGAGCUCAUCUCAUCAAACAUUGAAUGAGAAAGGCAUUACAAGACAAUGCUCCUCUACCAUAUCCCAAACUCAUUACCAAAUUUAUGGAGCAUUUUGAAGUUCCUCUUGAUAGUGAGCCUUAUGUACCAGUUAAAAGGUCUUUCAAAAUUGGGACUAGAGUUAUUUGUUCCUUUGGUUUUGUUAAAAACGUAGAUGGACUAUGAGUUCAAAAAUAAGAUUAUGCUCAGUCAAUUUAUAAUGAGAUUUGUGAUCUUCGAGCAUUUGUUGGGAAUAAAUUUUACAACAUUGAUGCUCAAGUUUCACAACUUGAAGACGACAUGGAUUAUCUACGCCAUCACUUUGAGCCACUAGGGCCCUCUUAAAUUUAAUGGUAUCAUGUUUUUAUUUUAUUAGGUUUAAUGUCACUUUAGUCUCUGUUUUUGUCCAAAAUCUCAAAUAGGUUCUCUUCUUUUUCGGGGUUUCAAUUGUGUCCUUAUUUUUGUAAAAUUGAAUCAAAUAGAGGUUUGCCGUUAAAUUGGACAAAAGGUCGUUUAAGAUUAUCUUAUGUGGCAUGCUGAGGUUAUUUUAUUACUUAAUUAUACACUUAGAUACCUUAUAAUGUGGGUACAAACCAUAAACUAAAGAUCACAUUAUCAAUAGAUACAUAAACUAUGUUACAACCUUUUUCCACUAGUAAUUGAUUACAACAUUUUUGUAAUCAAUUGCAAUGCCUUGUCAUUCAAAUUACAUAUACUGGUAAUCAAUUACAAUAAAUAUCUAAUGGAUUACACAUUGAAGUCGUGUGCCCCUAAUGAUUUUAGCACAAAAAAAUUUUAAAUUACCUACAGAUUUUUUUUUCCGAUGAAAAUAAAUUUGUCGAUAUAUUUGAAUUUCUAAUGGAUUUUACUAACAAAUUUAUUAUCGACGAAAAAAAUUUGUCGGUAAAUCUUUCGUUAAUGUGUAUUACAUUUAUUAACGGAAAAAUUUGUCGAUAAAUUUCAUCGGUAAUGUGUAUUACAUUUGCUAACGAAAAAAUUCAUCGAUAAAUCCAUAGAUAAUGCGUAUUUAACUCAUUAACGAAAAAAUCUAUCACUAAAACCUGUGGGUAAUGUAUAUUUCACUAAACUAUAGAAAAUUCGUUGGUAAAAUGAGCGAGAAUUUUCCUACCCAGUUUUCCUCUCUUUGUGCGAGAUAUAGACACUGUUUAUUUUUUUCCUCUUUCACAAGUGUUCAGCCUCUUUGUGCGAGGCAAUUAAAAGGUGUUCCCCUUCUCCUACUUCCCGAGCUUAGACCGUUGCAACUUCAAAUCAAGAUCGCCUCCAUCUCCGUUAAGUAAGGUCGUCGCCAUUCAGCAGGUCACCUCCACCUUGGUUCAACUAGGCCGCCUUUAUUCUUCCUAUUUCACGGAACGAUGCAACCACGCAUUAUCACCACCGCACACUGCCACAACCGCACACUAUCAUCAUCGCACAAUGUCAUGUUGUUUGCUCUAAGUUCAACCAAAACCAAAGUUAUCACUGUCUUUAAUGUGUUCAUUCUUUUGUAUUGGUAAAAAAAAUAAAGAAGAAAGAGAGCAGAAGAAUGAGAGCGAAAGAAAAAAAUGAACCAGAUUGCGAUAUUCAGGGACAAAAAAAAUUGUUAACAAAACUUAUUGACAACUAUUUUACUAACGAAUUUUUUGUCGUCGAUAAUUAUAAUUUAUCAACGAAUUUUACGUAUUACGGAUGAAUUUUAACCGUCGUUAAUAUCUUCUUAUAGUGAUUACGUAAUCGAUUCAACUUCUUGAAAUCCAUUACAAAUGAAAAAAUAUGUAUAGGAUAUACGAUUUCACCUUUUAAAAUUGUUCAAAACUAAACUCGUACACUUUUUACACGACUUUUUCAUUUAAAUUCGUGUAAGGUUGCCUAUAUAACCUAUAAAAGCAAUUUAAAUUUUGUUUGCCUACUUCAAUAACAAGACAAUCAGAUUUACCUAAAUCUAAAAAAAAAAAGUCAACUUUUAAAAAUAAUUUGAAAACAAAAAUACAUAUUUAAUCUAAUAAUAAAUAAAAGAUAAACAUACAAAUUUAUUUAUUUAAUGUCAAAGUAUCUUCUAUCUUACAUUUAUUCCAUAGCGAAUUUAAAAGUCAUCAACUAAGUUAAGGUCUUUGAUUUUGCUUAAGCACAUAUUUCGUCUAUUGAGUUUGAGCUCCUUGCGGUGGAUAAUAAGGCUCCGGCAAGCAAAGUUCCUUAAUGGUUCCUUCAUCAAUGGCUGUCUUUAUAGGAUUAACCUUGAUUUCAUACAACUUUGGCCACAAUUUUCCAGUUACUGCAACAAAACACAUGUUUCAAAUUCAAUACGAUAAACGGUAAGAACAUUAAUUUUCCAUUAUUCGUGCUUCUUAGGAAUUCCUAGAUGGAAAGGAAAAAGCCCACUCAACAAUAAAAAGCAUAUAAAUUGUAUUUGCAUAUUCUUUAAAUUUGAUGAGAUAAUGUUGUCAUAAAAAUAUAAUCAAUUAUAAUAUAAUAAAGAAAAUAAUAACUUAUCUAUAUAUAAAUUUAAAAUUAUAUAGUAAAUUAUAAGACUAUUAAUAUUUUUAGCAUAAAAACAUAAUAACAAAUUUUUUGAACUCUUGUUACAAAUAAAACUAGCAAUUUUCACUUUUUUUUUUCAAAAAAGUUAUAAAUCUAUAAGUCAAGUUAAUAAAAGUACAUUUUUACUGAGAAAUAAAUAUCUGUAGUAACUACAAAAAUUUACUUUUAGGUAAGUAAAAUUAUUUAAGAGUUUGUACUAAAUAUGAAGGAUAAUUGAAAUGUAUUAAAUCAAAUAGUUAGAUUUUAUCUAUAUAUUAAUAAAUAUUUUUCCCCUUUUAUUUGAUUUGUUACUAUUGAUAUUUAACUCAUGUAUAACUGGACUUAUAUAUUUCUAAUAAAUUCCCCUGAUUAAUCUAGAAUGUAAUAUUUAUUAUUUUCAAUUUGAAUAAUACAAGUAUAACUUUCAUUUCACACCCCAUUUGGCAUACUUUUUAUACAUCUAAAUGUUAGAAUAACAAAUUUCAAAUCGAUAAAUUAAUAAUUAGAAGAAAAGAACGUACCAAAUACACGCUUCUGCUCACCAUCCCAUGCUAUCCCAUUCAAAACAUCAUUCUCCUUAAAGAUGAAAGAUAUAUGAAUAUAAGUGCAACAAUACCAACUUUAAUUAUUAUUUUUUAUUUCGAAAAUGAAAUUAGAGUAACAUUUUGUUUUCAUAUAACAUGUUUUUAUAUAAUAGUAACAUUAUGAAAGUGCAACAUAUAUACAAUAAAUAUUAUCUCUUAAUAUCAAAAGAAUAAACUCCUUACAUUGAUCUCUCCAGCAUCUACAAGUUCCUUCCUGCGUAUAAUAGACCAAAUUAAGCAACUAAUGAAUAAAGAAAUUUUCUGUUUUUAUAUACUUCAAUAAAUGAUUUUUUAAACUAUUCAUUCCUAAAAUACUUAUUUUAUGUUUAAAUGGCUCUGAAAAAGAGAAACAUUACUUUAAAUUUUGGAGGAGAAUCCAUCCAAGAAUUCUGCCAUCAUUGGGAGAUAUUCUCACUAUGCAAUCAGUCUACACAAAGAAAAUGUCAAUCACAAACAAAACUAUUUCACUGUGCACUACAAAAAAUACAAAUUUAUUGAUUAGAAAAAAAUACAAAUUUGACUAUGCACCAAUAAAAAAUCACAAACAAAACAACUUAAAAUUAUAAUGAAACAGAGAAAGACAUAUACCGGUAAAACAUUUGCCCAAACUUCACCAUUUAUGUAUUCCAAUUCAUUGAGAUUGUAGACUUGGUGACCCUUAUAGUAGAUAACAUGUCUUGAUACAGCUGCAACAAUUAUGCCAAUGUAAAUUCCACUAAAUACAUCACAAAUUAUGAACACAAAAAUUUUGGGUAAGAAAUAUGCAUACAUAAAUAGUGAGAGAAAAAUAACGAAACUGUCAAGACGUGGAUUAUAGCUAAACUCAAUUCCAAAAAAUCAGACCUAAAUCUCAAAAAAUCAACUUCACAUAUAUAUUAUAAACUGACUUUAUCUUUAAUCGACGUGAAACUUUUAACAGAAUUUUUAUUUAGAUCGACAAACCUUUAAAUGUUUGAGGAUGAAGUUGAUACAACGUUGAACUGCCAUCACUUCCAAAAAGCACUUUUCCAUCCGUUGCCAGACCCCAACCAUCAUUCAUAUCAUGAUUAAAUGUUCCAAUCUAUAUACAAUUUUUUAACUUUAACUUUUAGCAUGGGUGUUUAAAAAUCUUGGUAAGCAAUGAACAAUAGAAAAAGUAAAUGAGAUUGAAGUUAAAACAACAAACUUGGUUCAAAUUUUUAGGGUCAUAUAUGAAACCAUCUUUGCGCAACCAAGUCACUUGAUACAACCUACAUAAAGUGCAGUGGAUAUAAGUGUUAGAAUACAUCCAUAUAUCGAAUUUUAGAGUGAAAAUAAUUUAUUUUUCCUUUUUAAGUCUUAGGAUUUUAGAAGGAACAAGAUAAUUGACACUGAUGAAAAAGCUAAUAUAAAAAACUAAAAUAUCAAUUUCAAUCUAAAAUUUUAAAACAACAAAUUUAUAUAUAUAUAUAUAUAUAUAUAUAUAUAUAUAUAUAUAUAUAUAUAUAUUUCUCUUACUAUUUUUUCUUAACCGCGACAUAAAUAGAAAACAAAAAUGCAACGUGAUUAUCUUUAAUACCUGUUAUUGAGGAGAGUUAAACCUUCCCCAAAUAAGGAAUCAUCCAUCUUAUGAAUAUUUUGAACCUGCAUGUCACAAAUUAUGAUUAGAAAAUUUAUAAUUCUCACUGAACUGCAUAACUUAAUAAAAUGUAGUAAUUUGAAAUAUAAAUCAACUAAUAAUUGGAACAAGUGUAUAGUAAGAGCUUAAGAAAUGAGUAUAUUUGUACCUUUCCAGUAAGAAGAGCAACUUUUCGAACAGAUGACUGAAACAACGAAUUAUUGAAAGGUUAAAUGAUAUUUUAAAACAAGUAUUAAUUAGAAAAAAAAAAGUAAAUGUUUUCUCUUUUAUCUCAUAUUUAAUAUUUUAAUUAUUUAUUUUUCAAAAAAAUUAUUUUUUAUUUUUAAAAUAAUUAACAUUUUAAAUUUUAAUUAGAACAUGACUUUGGACUUACUUUUAGCUUAUUUAAUGUAUUUAAAAACUUGUUUUGUUUUAUUAAAAUUAUUUAACUGAAAAUUAGGGUUUAUCAUUAAGCUGACAAAGAUGAUGCUUUAAGCUUAAUAAUCGAACUGUAAUUAAAUCCUUGAUCUACGAAUUUAUCCUUUUAAAUUCUCAUUUGAAAUCUUUUAUUUUAUUUCUUAUUUCUUUUAAUUUAUGAAGUCAUUUUCAUUACAGAAGUCAACUUAUAAUCUCUUAAUUUACUAGUUCAAAUUUCACAUCUUCCAACAUAAAUCUUUUUUAAAAUACUAUACAUUCUUUUCAGAAGGAAAAUUCAAUCCAAGAGUAAUUGAUAUGGAGUGAAAUCACUAUUUGAAAUAAAAAGAACUAAAAGUGAGAUAAUCCAGUGGUUGAAAAACUUUCCUUUGGUGUUUAUACUUAAAAACAUUUUAUUUUAUGAUUUAUUAAAAUACUAUUUUAAAAUAUUUAUAGUGAAUAUUAAAAAGGAUUAAACUAAUAUAAGUAAGAACUAAAAAUAAUUAAAUGGUGAUAAGAUAAGAAUGAAUUAGAGAAUGUUUACCUGCCCAUAAAGGCCAGUUGACUCAAAUAAGGUGUCAUUUCCAUAAUAAAGAAGGCCCUGAAAUCAAUAACAACAAUCAAAUAAUGUCCAAAUCAACAUUUUGGAUUUCAUAAUUAAUAAUAACAUAAACUUUUUCUUCAACAUAAGGCCAAAUAUUCACACAAUUACAUGAAAGGGUGUCAAUUAGUUCUAUCUAUGAAAAAAAAAAUAUAUUGGACAAUAUUAAAUAAAGUUUUCGCUUUAAAAAUACUAAACAUACACAAUGAAAACUUUCAAUUUGUCCACACAACUUAUUCUCAUUUAGGUUCUUUGGUUUAAGAAAAAUAAAACAUAAAAAAAUGAAGGUUUUUUAAUUUGAAAAGUAAAUAAAUAUACUUUUAAGGUUUAAUUAAAUUUUAAACUCUAUUAAGUUUUUAUUUGAUUGAGAAUGUAUACUCUUUUUGUUUUUCAAUGUGUCUUAGUUCUUUGUUUACUUUUUUAUAUUUGGGUGAUGAGAUUAUUAUGUCACUUAUUUGUUUUAAAAUGUUGAAAAAUUAAAAUAUAAGAGUUUGCAAUUAAUAGAAGAUGAUAUUGUUACUAAUAUAAAAUAAUAAGUGUUUUUUAUUAUUUUAUUUAAAACAUGUUUAAAAAGGAGAACAUCAUAUUUCUAAAUGACUUUUACGUUAUCACUUAUAUUAAUAAAAACCCGUCAUCGUUAUAAUCAUCAAUGUAACUGAAGGUCAUUAUUCAAUUAUUAUUUAAUACGUUUAAAGUGAAAAUAAUAAAUAUCUUUUGUCAUUUUACAUUAACUAUUUUUUUUUGUUUAUAUUAAUUACAAAAAAAAGUCAUAUUUUUUAAACUUGUAAAACAAAUAUAAUUAUUAUCACAUAACCUGAUUAAUAAAUUAAAAAAUCUCAAAAUAGAAUGUUUAUUUCGUCUUAUUCAAGAGACAAAUUUUUCUAAGUGGAACUCUCUCUACUAAAUAAAUAAUAAUUUUGUCUUUUUCUGAACUCUUUACUCCUUUUCUCACUCUCUCAGUGUUGGUUUUCUUAAAGAAAAUAAAAUAGUUUCUAAAAUUGGUUUAGAGAGAAAAUAUUAAUAAAUUUAUACAAUUUUUUUUUUUCUUAAAAAAAAGCUAAAAGGUCGAUGAAAAUAUUCAUCUACGUAUGAAAAGCAAAACUUUCUUUUUUUUUCUAACACAAACUAUUCUAUUAAUGUUAAAAAAAAAGUUACGAAGUCAUCACCAACUUAGAGAUGAGACAUUGAAUCGAACAGAAGAAAAAAAAGUAAAAAGUGAAAUUAUUUAAAUUUUAAAACAAUUCACAGAAUUCGAUGAGAAAUUUGUAAUAAAGACUAAAAACAUAUAUUUUAUUUUUUAAUUAUUAUAAUAAAUAAAAACAUAAAUAUUAAUAGAAAAAGUACCAACAUAAAUACUUAAGUUUUUAUAUUCAUUCCUCGUUAUAACAUACUUUCUUUUAAAGACAUAAUCAAUUAUAUGUUGAUUUCUCUCUUCAAAUUUUAGGUUAUAUUUUAUACUCUCAUUUUUGUGUAUAUACAUAUAAAGUAAAGUACAUUUUGGGUUUUGUGUCUCGGCGUACCGAAGAAGAGUUUGAAAGAUGGAAAGAAGAAAAGAGAGAAUAGAAAUAGGAUGACCUGGGUGAAGGCUUGAGGGUCGUGAGGGAAGACAUUGACGAUGGUGAAGUUGGCAUAGGAAAUUGGGUGUUCCAACGCGCAGCAACUGUUCGACGAAAGGACUGAUAAGAGAAGGAUGAGGGAGAGAAGAAG
rnacentral:lncRNA from 1 species